GGGGCUGUAGCUCAGUGGCAGAGCGCUUGCCUCACAUGUGUGAGCAACUGGGUUCGAUUCUCAGUACCA
rnacentral:tRNA from 1 species